AGCGUCGUUCGGACCGCC
rnacentral:snRNA from 1 species